CCCACGAAGGACUGCGACCUCAAGGCCUUGCUCCUUCAGCUGUAGCGCGACGUGAGCCCUGCCAUUUCACUUUCAAGAUACGUAAGCUGCUUCGACCCUGAAAAUGCCGACGCAAUGGUGCAUCUGAACAUCCAAUGGAUACCA
rnacentral:lncRNA from 1 species